CUUGCAGUCUAUAGGGCAGAUGAUGAAAAGAUGAAGUCAACUUCAUACAGAAUCUAGUUUUUUAUGUGGAGAGAGCUUAUAGAACACCUGACUAAGAGCUUAUAGAACACCUGGGAAAGAGGAAAUAUAA
rnacentral:sRNA from 1 species